rnacentral:lncRNA from 1 species
UUUAACAAAGAACGAAGGCGUUUACCAAUUUCCGAAUUUUUUCUUCUUUUAUUACUGCGGUAGUACUUAUGCCAAAUUGGCAUCUGUAAGAAACUUCGGUAUGCAGUCUGGCCCAGAAUUAUAGGCAACUAGAUAGAUAUUAUUGGUAAAAAUGGGAGACGAUAAAUAUACACAUAAGAAAAUUCUAAGUAAGUUUAAUGAGAUAUGAGAGUUUAUAGUCCUAAUUGCUGAUCCGAUUGUGCUGCUGAUCAACUAUAAUUAUUUUCCCAUUAUGACCUCAAUUAUGUCGUCUGAAUUCCUUGUAGACCGAUUCAACUUUUUGUCACAGGAAUCUGUCACGUGAAAAUUCUUCUCUAACAUACUGCUAUGAUUUUUCUACACGGCAUUUUCGUACUUGGGAAAGAAUUAGUAGACCUUCGAAUUCUUUUUUUUUAUGCGUUAUUUCAUUCCGUACCCCUUAAUAGUGCCUCAUAAAGUGCUAAUACGUAAGUUUUUACAAUUUUUUUUCUUUUUUUCUUUAUUUCUUUAUAAAUAAUAUAAUAAAAAAAGGCCUGGUAGUUAAUUUGUAGACGUCGCGAUAACAUUUUUCUACCCCUAUAAAUGUAGCUAUUUGUAACGAGAUUUAGGCCAAGAUAAUUUGAAAUUUAUACUUUUAGUCCAAGAAAAUUUUGUUAAGGAGAAGUUUUAAAAAAGAAGAAGACGGAGAAGAAGAUUUCUGGUGUAUUUUAGUUAAGAAAAGCAGAAAAAUGGAAGUAGAAAGACGAGCAGAAAACGAGGACGGAAUAUAUCAUAUUUUACGGAAUAGAAGAAGCAAAUGUUAUAUUUUAGAAAGGAAAAAAAAGUAGAAAAUCAAAGCAGAAAAUAGUUAAAUUCCAGAAAAUGCGAAUAAGUCGGGAAAACACAAAGCAGAAAGCAAAUUGCAAUCAAUAAUCGGAAUUGAAGUUAAGGGAAAAAACGGUAGAAAAGAAAGAUAGAAAGAAAGAAAAAAGAAUCAAAGCGUAAAAGAUACGUAGAAACGGACGAUACAUUUUUUAAGGAGAGGACGUCAACGUAAUGUCUUCGGUUAGUAACCAAUUAGAAAGCGAAGCGUGCGGCAGUCAGCAGGCUGACAUUCAAUUGGCCUGUGGGAACGACCACUAGAGAGCAACACAAUCGCUGCCGCGAAUCAGCGGAGAACUGUCAGUGUUGAGUGAUCGCUAGAUGUAGAAGGACGCUCGCUCGGAGCUCAACUUUGCUCCCGAUCUGUGGCUUUAUAUUCCCCAUUUCUGCGGAAGAAGCUACAACCAGGGGAAUACAAAACCAACGGUGAAGCGACAAGAAAAAAGUCGAGCUCGACGUUAACUAAAUUGUGGGCCUAGAUGGACCGAUAGUUUCUGCUCUAUACACCUAUAAGCAAUCUAUAUAAAUAUAUAUAUAUAUCCGCAUAUAAAAUUUUAAUAGGCAAUCUACUAGCAGAUGAAUUGAGUGUUCGAUCAAUUCUUUCGAGUUCUUUUGAAGUCCUGCUAACGAAGUCUAUUGUAAAGUAACAGUCUGACUAGAAACUAUUCACAGGCACAAACAGCGUGUGAAGCGGGCUGUGUUGAUGUUUAUGGCUGACAAAGUGUCACGUGACACGCAUGAGUUGAGAAUCGAAUGCUCGCGUAUCCUCCUCCGACUCCUACGUAUGUGACGUAUACUUUUAUUAAUACUUCGUUGGAAAUCAAUGAGAGCGCUUUACUUUUUGGUGUUUUCCGAGUGAAAAUCACGCAGGUGUAUCAGGGCGUCAUCGCUAAACAAACCUGAUUGGUUAUCCUGUACAUGACAGUCGUUUGUAUGCCUGGACGAAGUGCGCGUGCGCAGUGGCGACGGGAAAAAGAACCGUCGAGCCAUACUCUGGCUGGUCACAAACUAGACAACAUGGAAUAUGUUGUGGUAUUGAUGGUGGUUGGAAUGUCAUCUCUACUAUACUGGAACACACUCAACGCAGAUUUCGCUUACGAUGAUAGGUAAGUGGAUUAAAGUAGUAGAGUUUACGCUGUUAUCUUUUCCGGGAGUGGUAAUUAUGUUCAUAAAAUAAAACUAUAUUUUUAAUGUUGUUUAGAUGUAAGAUUGAAUUUAAUAAAAACCUAUAAUUUUAAUAUUAGAAGACAACACAUUACAUCAUUAAUUUGAAGUCUAUAAAGUAGAAAAAAACUGCUUUUUCCUUAUUUUCAAUCUCAUCAAAUAAUUAAUACGUAUAAAUUUAUUUUCAUUUACAGUCAUGCUUUUCACAUAAUUUAAUAUUAUCCUAUGUCUUUAUCCAUUUUAAUUCCACUACAAACGUAAAAUUAUCCAUGUAAUUUACUAUUAAUUAAAUUUUUUCCCACUCGAUUUAAAAUAAAGCUAAUAAUUUAACAUUGCACUUAAAUUGUCUCAUUCAAUCAGGCGAAACAAUCUUUAUAAUUAUAUAAACACCAAACCUAGGUUUAUUUAAUUUAAUAUUUCAUAUAUAACCAAUUUAGAACCUCUAACUGAAAUUACAAUAUCCUGCUUUAGCAGAUUAACAAAUUUUUAAUAGGCUAUAGAUACAAAUUUUAGAGGGAAAAAAAAACUUAGAAAAGUAAGUUAAAAAUCUAAUCACAGUUUUUAAAGUUGGAGUUAUGACAACCACUCAGGAAUAGUUAUCGAUUAACCGGAGCAGGUUCAAUAUCUGUGAAAUUACAUAGUAGAUUAUAUGAACCACUAUCUACAUUUUCUAAACGAUCAUCAUAUUCUGGUAUUUGAGUAACAAGUUCCGCUUAUCAGCAGCUGUGCAGGAGAAUGAGGAUUACAGUAAAUUCUUGAAUGUAACUUCUCUACUACUUCUAACCACACGUUUAAUUACGUUGGAGUAAACAAACUCUUGACAUGUCAAACACACUUACUACAUUUUGCUGCUUAAUGCUGAAACUAGAUAGAGUUUCUCCUUAUUAUAGUCGGUUAAACUCUAAUUUAAUAUUUUGGCUUAUGGAGUUUUAAUAUUUUAUUGGAAAAACUAACAAGUUUUUCUACUUGAAAAUUUUACCAUUAAUAAAAAGUCGUUUUUCAAAAUGAUGUUGGAGGAUAUAUGUUUUUUCCAAUAUAUAAAACGUCGCGUUUUAGAUUCAUUUAUCAAUUUCUGUUUCUACUCUAAAUGUAAUGACUCAGACUAAACUUUUUUGUUGUGUUCCUGAAUGAAUUUGUUCUAGAAAAUUUUAUUUUUCUACUUAAUUUUUUUUA